rnacentral:misc_RNA from 1 species
GAUGAAGAACGCAGCGAAAUGCGAUAAGUAAUGUGAAUUGCAGAAUUCAGUGAAUCAUCGAAUCUUUGAACGCAUCUUGCGCUCCUUGGUAUUCUGAGGAGCAUGCCUGUUUGAGUGUCAUUAAAUUCUCAACUACACUGACUUUGAAUUGGUGUGGCUUGGAUUUGGGGGGAAAAUUGUUGUGGGCUUUUUGUAUAGUCUGCUCCCCUGAAAUUGAUUAGCGGUACCUUUGUGGAACUGUCUACAGGUGUGAUAAUUAUCUACAUCUUAGACAUCUGCUGGAAUGCUGCUCUCUAAACCUUCCUUGUAUUGACAAUCUUGACCUCAAAUCAGGUAGGACUACCCGCUGAACUUAAGCAUAUCAAUAAGCGGAGGA